CUUCAUCAAGAUUUGCCAAUAAUAACAAUAAUAAUGAUGCACUUGUUCCAGCAACUAAGAAUAUCAAUAGGCCUAGCAUGGUGGUGAAUGUGAAGGUCUUGAAGAAGCUCUUCUCUGUUAACAACUAUCAAAAGAAACCAAGAAGGAGAUUAAAUCUUGAUUUUCAUCUUGAACCAUAGCAACUGAGAAACAAAGAAGAGAGCAACUGAAUGGCAAAUACAAAAUUCUAAGGAGUUUUAUCCCAAGCCCCACAAAGAUGGAUAGAGCCUCUGUGGUGGGUGAUGCCAUUGAAUAUAAUAAGGGAGCUGCUCAGAACGGUCAAUAAGCUCAAAUUACUGGUGGAGAAGAAAAGAUAUUGAAGGGAGAGAUGCAAAAGGCAGAAAGCGAAAGAUGAUGCUGCAGAGAGCUGCAACAUAAAGCCUUUCAGCAAUCUAGAUGGAUGCAUAAGGACCUCAUGGCUUCAAAGGAAAUCAAAAGAUAUAUAACCUGAAAUUUGGCUUUUUCUUUUUGCAGGUCUUAACCAGAAUUCGACACUACAGCUAUCAUGUGGCUUUCAUGUGGGGAAAUCUCUUGGUUCUAAUCCUGGUGUUGCUGUGGUUGUCGAAAGAGUUAGGAUACGCGGACUGUCAAGGUUUAGAAACCUGAAUAAAUUCGCACACUCCAUGAAAGUGAAGGUGUUGCCUGCAGAUCCAAAUAUUCGCAUUCCAAACAUAGAGAUCUGUUUCCAUAGGAAUGCAUCUCUUGCUAUAGGAAUGUGCUCACAAGGCCAAUGGGAAAAAGUUACCAAGGGUUCUUGGAUUCGAUCAAUGUCUCUUUUUGACCACAAGCUCUUAGAUAUAAGGACUGCUAGCUCAACACUGGCAUCCUCCUUAAGCAAAUCGUUAGCAUUUUAUUAUAGCAGCGCAAUGGCAGUUGGGAUCAUUCUUGUGAUACUUAUGAUUCUUUAUCAGGUAACUUAUUACUGUUCCUCGAUGUUUAGAACUUUAGAUAGUUUGACUAUACUCUCAUAUGAUGUUUAGGAUGAGUCUUCUUGUUGAGAAAUUGACCAAGACUUCAUCAAGUCUUCCUCUCAAGAAAAUGUCAGCUCUUGUUCAUGGCUUAUCUUGACUGAUCCAAAUUUUUCUUGCAAUAUCUUUGAUGGUCUUGGUCAUUAAGGCAAAAAUGCAGAACAGUUACUAUUCAUGGCUG